UACGUAGGGUGCAAGCGUUGUCCGGAUUUAUUGGGUUUAAAGGGUGCGUAGGCGGCUUUUUAAGUCAGCGGUGAAAUACUUCGGCUCAACCGAGGAGCUGCCGUUGAUACUGGAAGGCUUGAGUACUGAUGAAGUGGGCGGAAUUGAAGGUGUAGCGGUGAAAUGCAUAGAUAUCUUCAAGAACACCGAUUGCGAAGGCAGCUCACUAAGGAGUAACUGACGCUGAGGCACGAAAGCGUGGGUAGCAAACAGG
rnacentral:rRNA from 1 species